AUUGAACGCUGGCGGCAGGCCUAACACAUGCAAGUCGAACGAGUGGCGGACGGGUGAGUAAUGUCUGGGAAACUGCCUGAUGGAGGGGGAUAACUACUGGAAACGGUAGCUAAUACCGCAUACCAUCGGAUGUGCCAAGAUGGGAUUAGCUAGGAGGUGGGGUAAAGGCUCACCUAGGCGACGAUCCCUAGCUGGUCUGAGAGGAUGACCAGCCAUACUGGAACGUAGGCACGGUCCAGACUCUUACGGGAGGCAGCAGUGGGGAAUAUUGCACACUGGGCGCAAGCCUGAUGCAGCCAUGCCGCGUGUAUGAAGAAGGCCUUCGGGUUGUAAAGUACUUUCAGCGGGGAGGCGUUACCCGCAGAAGAAGCACCGGCUAACUCCGUGCCAGCAGCCGCGGUAAUUC
rnacentral:rRNA from 1 species